AAACAAGUAACUUUCGUAUGGCAAAUAUUGGUAAAAUUGAAAUAAAUUAAAUUUUCAUAUGCAUAAGUAAAUUUAGAUUUGGAGGGAGAAAUACAUUAAUUGGGAAGGUUUAAUGUUUAUGUAUUUGGAAUUUCUAAAUGUACUUUGAAUUCAAUUGUUCGCUUCUUUGAUUUCCAUCUUAUGAGUAGAAGCGAAAAAAAUAGCAAUGAGACAAUUCUCUACUUGUCG
rnacentral:lncRNA from 1 species